rnacentral:rRNA from 1 species
UAAUACGAAUGGAGCGAGCGUUGUUCGGAAUCACUGGGCGUAAAGGGUGCGCAGGCGGUCAUGAAAGUUAGAAGUGAAAGCCCCGGGCUUAACCCGGGAAUUGCUUUUAAAACUCCAUGACUAGAGUACUGGAGAGGUUGGCGGAAUUCCAAGUGUAGCAGUGAAAUGCGUAGAUAUUUGGAGGAACACCGAUGGCGUAGGCAGCCAACUGGACAGUAACUGACGCUCAUGCACGAAAGCGUGGGGAUCAAACAGG